rnacentral:tRNA from 1 species
CGCAGGGUAGGGCAGCUCGGUCAGCCCGCCGGCCUCAUACGCCGGAGGUCGCAGGUUCGAAUCCUGCCCCUGCACCCA